AGUCCUGAGUAUGUAGGAAAAGUUUGCAGGAACAGAGAUUGAAAUCAGGUGUCGAGAACCUCGAUUAAAAGGCGGCCAUCUUGUAACAUUGAUUGAAGAACUGAUGUUGAUGAAGCGCUUUAGCAGCUUUGAAAAAUUGAUACAUGAUGUUAGAAUAUGGAUUGGAACGUAAUCAACCUCGCAUUGCGUGAGAGUGAGAACAGACAUUAUUUCAGGAUCUAUAUAUCUCCCCUUCGCUCGAACGAUAAGGCCAAAAAAGAUACAAAAGAUCAUGGCCACGUCAAGCCAUCUGAAUAUUAUCUUCUCAGCUCACACCUAAGCUUAUUUACCAACAUACAUUGCCCCACAAAGGAUUGUGUUGCACGUUCACUGGCAGAAGAGCAACAUUGCAACGUUUACACAGACAUUAAUUAAUCACACCUUCGUUCUUUACCAACGUUUUACAUGUGACUCUGAUCUUAUCUUGUGAAUCUUUUCUGAUAAACGGGAUUUACGCGGUUGAUGCAUUAUUCUCCAUCCACCACAGUAAGCUUGCUCAGGAUCAUCCUAAGGUUGGCCACGGACUCAUCAAACAAAAUCGGAUGAGGCGGACCAGCCACGGGAAUGUGAUUGGCGUGUUCCAUAAACGGCUCCGGAGGCGGAUUGGAGUCCUCAUAUCCGACCACGGGAGGCGGUCUCUGAUAGGUCUGACUAUUGGGAUCCGCUGACAACAUGGGUGGAACACUCGGGUGGUUGACAUGAGAGUGCAUGUGAUGGCAAAUCCCGUUUUGAGCGUAAUGCGAACACGUGCAUUUGAACAAGUGGGCACAAUACUGAGGUGGGCAUCGCUGACAUUUGACUUGGCAGUACUCUUGAGCACAGAUGAUCUCGUCCGCCGGCUCUAGGAAGUAUUCCUCGGCACUUUUCUUGAAAUGGAGAUUGUUGAAUUCUUUCUGGAUCUUGGACAUGGUCUCUGGGUCUUGCGAUCCACUCAAGGAGGCCAGUUCAUUGUAGAAUAUCUUGGUGGAAUGCUUGAGUUUCUCAAUGCAGAUGUCCAUUCGGUCGACCGUGCUGAGCUGGCGGCGAAACAGGGUGAGAUAAGGCUCUGCGAUGUCAAUGGAGGUGGGCACACCGGGGGCGUGGCACCUGGCCCAUUCCACUGAAGGGCUGUAUUUGCCCUCAGGGCCGUAGUUUGACAAGAAAUAACUCAUUUCUUCGGUCUGAGCACAAUGGUAGAAUUGAGAGAUCCUUUGGGAGAACUCGAAUUUAUUAGUGAGCACUCUCAGGUUGAGAAUGGCAUCGAGUAAGUAUUUGUCCUUAAUGCGUUGCUUCAUGAGCUUCUCAAAGGCUCCGUCCAUCAAAACACGUUUCACCCAAGGAGCCUCAGCCUGACGGGAAACAACAGAGUUAAUAAUUAUUAACACAACAACUGAAACAUUAAGACUCAAGAAGGGCAAAAGA